GCCUUCGUGGUGUAACGGGAAAGCACACUCGGCGCGUAUUCGAGAGAUCCGUGGUUCGAGUCCCGGAGAGGGCA
rnacentral:tRNA from 1 species